rnacentral:rRNA from 1 species
GUGGGGAAUAUUGGACAAUGGGGGGAACCCUGAUCCAGCCAUGCCGCGUGUGUGAAGAAGGCCUUUUGGUUGUAAAGCACUUUAAGCGAGGAGGAGGCUACCGAGAUUAAUACUCUUGGAUAGUGGACGUUACUCGCAGAAUAAGCACCGGCUAACUCUGUGCCAGCAGCCGCGGUAAUACAGAGGGUGCAAGCGUUAAUCGGAUUUACUGGGCGUAAAGCGCGCGUAGGUGGCCAAUUAAGUCAAAUGUGAAAUCCCCGAGCUUAACUUGGGAAUUUCAUUCGAUACUGGUUGGCUAGAGUAUGGGAGAGGAUGGUAGAAUUCCAGGUGUAGCGGUGAAAUGUGUAGAGAUCUGGAGGAAUACCGAUGGCGAAGGCAGCCAUCUGGCCUAAUACUGACACUGAGGUGCGAAAGCAUGGGGAGCAAACAGGAUUAGAUACCCUUGUAGUCC